UUCUAAUGGGAAUGUUAUUGCACUGGUUAAAUGGGAGAUGGGUCUUGUCCUCUUGAAAGAAGCGAUCGACAUCGCUGAACGUCAGAUUAUUUCGAGUAGGUGAACUGAUCGUUGUCUAGGACUGCAACUCCUAGAUAAUGUUACCGUACACAGGCACGUUAAAAAACAAAAAAAAAAGAUGAUCUUCAUCCUCCCCUCUGUCAACGCGCCUGCUCCCUGGAAACGCGAUGGCGUGAGUGUGCGCAGGAAGCUGUCCAGGUAACGCAGAUGCAGCGCAACGGCAGCCUGGUGAUCGACAGGAUGGAGGACGGCUCUGGUCUGCUGUGUGGCUCCCCCAAGGGGCCUACACACUGUGAACAAGCAGGGCUGCCCAACCCUGUUCCUGGAGAUCUACCAUCCUGUAGCUUUUCAUUUCAACCAUAAUUUCCCACACCUGACUCUACUAAUUAGCGGCUUAACAAGAUUUCUAGCUGUUGAAUGGGGUGUGCUUUGGUAGGGUUGGAGUGAAAACCUGCAGGAUGGUAGAUCUCCAGGAACAGGGUUGGGCAGCUCUGACCUACAGCGUCCAUCCUGUCCGUCAACGGCGCCAAACGACGCCUGCUCUCCUCUCCGCGCUCGUCCUGCAUAACCCAGCUGACUACCCGAGUGAGACUGUACAGCCAGCCUGCUCCUGCAAUAAGAGCUACUGCAGUCGCCCGAGUGAGACUGUACAGCCAGCCUGCUCCUGGAAUAAGAGCUACUGCAGUCGCCCGAGUGACUACCGGAGUGAGACUGUACAGUCAGCCUGCUCCUGGAAUAAGAGCCACUGCAGUCGCCCGAGUGACUACCGGAGUGAGACUGUACAGUCAGCCUGCUCCUGGAAUAAGAGCCACUGCAGUCGCCAGACUGACUGUAAAGUGCUCUGUAAUAACAUGUCUACAAAAGUAAGGGCGGAAUGAUUGCACGAUUGACUGGUUGAUUGGUUGAUUGAUUCCUGAAGCAAGGACGGAAUGAUUAAUUAAUCGAGUGAUUUAAUUACUGAUUAAUUGACUAAUUGAUUAAUUGACUGACUGUGAUUCCUGAAGCCUGGUGUACGUGGUGCAGACCCUGUGUAGGCAUUCAAGCCGCUGGAGGUUAACUGCAGCCAAGGAACAAACAUCUAAAUGCGCUACUCUCUUAAUAUAUUUAUGCAUGUAUUUAUAUGAUGGGGAUCUCGCAUUUUUAUAUCCACCUGUGGGACUCCUCUGCCUCAGCCCAUAUCAGUUCAGCAAAUUCAGGAAAUAAAUAGAAUUUUUAAUUUCUUGAUUGGCAAACAGUUCCAACCAUUAAUGUCCUUCUUUUUUUGGAAGGGGGAGGGGUCCCAUUCAGUUAUAUGAAUUUUGGUGCAUUUCCUGAAUUGAGAUGUGAUUGCCCCAUGGUGUGAUCACACAGUGUCUUUCGGUGCCACAGUCUCUGUGCAGGGCCUGUGGCAUUACCAGGUGACAAAGGUAAAGUGUUUAUAAAAAUAAAAUAAAAAUGUCUUUGCCACAAAGACUUAAUCAGUCGGUUGCGUUUCCCUCUGAAUAAAGAUACUCCAUUUUACCUCA